rnacentral:rRNA from 1 species
UACGGAGUAUCCGAGCGUUAUCCGGAUUUAUUGGGUUUAAAGGGUGCGCAGGCGGGAGAUUAAGUCGGCGGUGAAAUUUUGCAGCUCAACUGUAAAAGUGCCUUCGAAACUGGUUUCCUUGAGUGUGGAUGAAGUAGGCGGAAUUUGUGGUGUAGCGGUGAAAUGCAUAGAUAUCACGAGGAACUCCGAUUGCGCAGGCAGCUUACUAAACUACUACUGACGCUCAGGCACGAAGGCGUGGGGAUCAAACAGGAUUAGAUACCCGCGUA